rnacentral:lncRNA from 1 species
CACAGGAAAGGCCUGUUUCCAUGAUUCAUCUACCUCCCACAGGUCCCUCUCAUAACACGAGGGAAUUCAAGAUGAGAUUUGGGUGGGGACACAGACAAGCCAUAUCAACUGGAUCAGAGGAAAUUUUUGAAAUCAAGUUAUCUUAAGCAGCAUCUCAUCAAUACCCUGAAUUUUCUGACUGAGUCUUGCUCUGUCACCAGGCUGGAGUACAGUGGCAUGAUCUGGGCUAAUUGCAAGCUCCAUCUUCCAAAUUCAAGUGAUUCUGCUGCCUCAGCUUCCCUAAUAACUGGGACUACAGGAUGCCAGGUAGAUUUUUACCAAACUAGAAGAUGA